rnacentral:rRNA from 1 species
CGUGCCAGCAGCCGCGGUAAUACGGAGGAGGCAAGCGUUAUCCGGAAUUAUUGGGCGUAAAGCGUCCGCAGGGGGCACUUCAAGUCUGCUGUCAAAGGUCGGAGCUUAACUCCGGUUCGGCAGUGGAAACUGGAGUGCUAGAGGGCGACAGGGGUAGAGGGAAUUCCCAGUGUAGCGGUGAAAUGCGUAGAGAUUGGGAAGAACACCGGUGGCGAAAGCGCUCUACUGGGUCGCACCUGACCCUCAGGGACGAAAGCUAAGGUAGCGAAAGGGAUUAGAUACCCCUGUAGUCUUAGCCGUAAACGAUGGAUACUAGGCGUGGUUUGUAUCGACCCAAGCCGUGCCGAAGCUAACGCGUUAAGUAUCCCGCCUGGGGAGUACGCACGCAAGUGUGAAACUCAAAGGAAUUGACGGGGGCCCGCACAAGCGGUGGAGGAUGUGGUUUAACUCGAUGCAACGCGAAGAACCUUACCAGGGCUUGACAUCCCGCGAAUCUUGCUGAAAGGUGAGAGUGCCUUCGGGAGCGCGGAGACAGGUGGUGCAUGGCUGUCGUCAGCUCGUGUCGUGAGAUGUUGGGUUAAGUCCCGCAACGAGCGCAACCCUCGUCCUUAGUUGCCAGCAUUAAGUUGGGCACUCUAGGGAGACUGCCGGUGACAAACCGGAGGAAGGUGAGGAUGACGUCAAGUCAGCAUGCCCCUUAUGCUCUGGGCGACACACGUCCUACAAUGGUCGGGACAAAGGGGAGCAAGCUCGCGAGAGUAAGCGAAUCCCAGCAAACUCGGCCUCAGUUCAGAUUGCAGGCUGCAACUCGCCUGCAUGAAGGAGGAAUCGCUAGUA